rnacentral:rRNA from 1 species
GUAGGUACCGAGCGUUAUCCGGAUUUACUGGGCGUAAAGCGCGUUCAGGCGGUUUGGCAAGUCGGGCAUGAAAUCUCUCGGCUCAACCGGGAGAGGUUGUCCGAUACUGCUGGACUUGAGGGCAGUAGAGGGUGGUGGAAUUCCGGGUGUAGUGGUGAAAUGCGUAGAUAUCCGGAGGAACACCAGUGGCGAAAGCGGCCACCUGGACUGUACCUGACGCUGACACGCGAAAGCUAGGGGAGCGAACGGGAUUAGAAACCCCGGUAGUCCUAGCUAUAAACGAUGUUGACUAGGUGUCGACGGUCUAAACCCCGCCGGUGUCGGAGCCAACGCAUUAAGUCAACCGCCUGGGGACUACGGCCGCAAGGUUA